rnacentral:rRNA from 1 species
AAACCAACAGGGAUUGCCUCAGAAACGGCGAGUGAAGUGGCAAAAAGCUCAAAUUUGAAAUCCCCCCGGGGAAUUGUAAUUUGAAGAUUGUGUUUUGGAAACGACCGUGUCUAUGUUCCUUGGAACAGGACGUCACAGAGGGUGAGAAUCCCGUGCGGCACGGCCACCGUUUCCUUAUAAAACACUCUCGACGAGUCGAGUUGUUUGGGAAUGCAGCUCAAAGUGGGUGGUAAAUUCCAUCUAAAGCUAAAUACAGGCGAGAGACCGAUAGCGAACAAGUACAGUGAUGGAAAGAUGAAAAGCACUUUGAAAAGAGAGUGAAACAGUACGUGAAAUUGUUGAAAGGGAAGGGCAUGCUGUCAGAUUGUCAGUGUGGGUAAGAAGCGGGGUACAAAGACUGUGGAACGUGGCCCUCGGGUGUUAUAGCCACAGUUCAUCCCCCGUCUCUUUCCGAGGCCUGCUUUGAGGACACCGACGUAAUGACGGUACGCCGCCCGUCUUGAAACCACGGA